UGUGACAGCACCCAGCAUCAUUCUGCGACUGUGGUACUUCCUCUCUUUCCUGUCCUCUGUGAGGCCUGACAGUCUAUCAAGGCCCUGCUGAUUUUAACCAGGUGGUAUAAUUUCAUUUGGGCUCUUGUCAGGACUCCCUUUCCCAAUAUUUCCUAAUGGAGGGUGUCUUUACUAGGAAUUCUACUCAUUUGCAAUUUUUUUUUUGUCUGUAAAGAGUCCUUUCAAAGAAAUAGCCUGGGAUGAGAGGGCAGUAAUCACUUGGUUGCUCAGAAAUCUAACACUGCACCAGUGUUUCCCUGAUUGCUAGGCAGGCAAUAAACAAUAGCUAUGCUUUUAAUAAGUUCACUUGUGAGAAUUCUCCCCAGGGGUAGAGACCUGGAUACAAUUCCUCGGGAUUGGGGGAGUACCCAGGCACCUGCCGGAAGUGAAGGAAUGAACAGGAGAAGAAAAGUGGGUGUCUGCCAAAGGAAGCAUCAACUCCACUCUUGAAUGGGCUCCAACCACACCUGCUCCCUUUAGGGGAAGCCUUUCCAUCAAACAAUGAUUGUGACGACUUGGCAGACAUUCUGAGUUUGGAUGCAGGCUGGUUGGCAGAUGUAGAAGUAACAGUAC
rnacentral:lncRNA from 1 species